GCGCCCCACGGGUAGGAGGAAAUCACACAUAGUCGACACAUGUAAAGCUAUAGCCAAAUUACUGGCACAACACAGACUAUAUGAUGCCUGGCGAACAUUACACCCCAAACAGGCUGACUACACGUUUCACUCGAAAGUCCACAACACAUAUACCCGAAUAGACACAUGGUCGGACCACGGCCCAGUACACCUACACCUACAUGAUAACUUUCAAUUCAGAGGGCAAGGGCAAUGGCGCCUUAACGAAUCGCUCCUGGCAAAGGCUGCGUUUAGAGAUUCGAUCCAGACCGCACUGACGGAAUACUUCCAAACGAACGGGACAGGGCAGGUCACAGACAGCAUGGUGUAGAGCGCCCAUAAAGCCGUAGUCAGCGGGCUUUUUAUUAAAAGGUCCUCCUAUAUUAA